AUGUGAGUCAGAUGUGGGCAAGAUCCGGGCCAGAUCUGGGUCAGAUGUGGGCCAGAUCGGGGCUAGAUGUGGGUCAGAUGUGGGCUAGAUGUGGGCCAGAUCCGGGCUAGAUGUGGGCCAGAUCCGGGUCAGAUGUGGGCUAGAUGUGGGUCAGAUGUGGGCUAGAUGUGGGCCAGAUCCGGGCUAGAUGUGGGUCAGAUGUGGGUUAGAUGUGGGCCAGAUCCGGGUCAGAUGUGGGCUAGAUGUGGGCUAGAUGUGGGUUAGAUGUGAGCCAGAUCCGGGUCAGAUGUGGGCCAGAUGUGGGUCAGAUGUGGGUCAGAUGUGGGCUAGAUGUGGGCUAGAUGUGGGUCAGAUGUGGGUUAGAUGUGAGCCAGAUCCAGGUCAGAUGCGGGUCAGAUGUGGGCCAGAUGUGGGCUAGAUGUGGGUCAGAUGUGGGUUAGAUGUGGGCUUUCUGUACAACGGAAGUGUGCGGUGAUUUAUCCUGCCAAAUAUAGUGCACGAGUUUAUGAUACUUAUAUGCUUCUUUUGUUUAUCCUUUUUGGUAUUUGGCUUAUUAAUCACUGUCCACUUUCUCUGUGCGGUAAAAACACAAUCUGUUGUGUUUCAUGGGAGAACAAAAAUAAUACAUGGCAAAAACAAGAGGGUGAGUAAACCUAUAACUAUUUUAGGAAUAAUUCACCAAAUUUAUAAAAAUCAGUUUAAUUCUCCCAGAAAGAAAUGCAUUAAAGUUGUUGAACGUGGUCAUGAUCAAACUUUUCCCCCAACUCUCUUCAUCAAUGUUUAUUUUAGAUCCGUUGUGAAGUGAAAUCUGUGGUGGAUCACUGUUUUGGAUCUCCAAGAUCCCAUCAUGAUGUUUCCAGAUCACAAAACACACCUCACAUACUUAGAAACACAUGAGAAGCUCAAGACCGUAAUGUAUAAUUUUGCGUUGUUUGAUUCAGUCGGUGUACACCUGAUUCUGGUCUGUACCGUCUCAUACGUGUCGAUCUCUCUUUUUUUCCCCUUGAAUGUCCAUUACACAUUUAUUUUGUGCAUUGUAUGUAGUAAAUGACAUGUUUUGGAAAAAAAAUCACAAAUAAACAGCUGUAUAUACUGAUGCAUAA